UGGGGUAUAGCCAAGUUGGUAAGGCAGCGGGUUUUGAUCCCGUUAUUCGUUGGUUCGAGUCCAGCUACCCCAGCCA
rnacentral:tRNA from 2 species